rnacentral:rRNA from 1 species
ACUCCUACGGGAGGCAGCAGUGGGGAAUAUUGGACAAUGGGGGGAACCCUGAUCCAGCCAUGCCGCGUGUGUGAAGAAGGCCUUUUGGUUGUAAAGCACUUUAAGCGAGGAGGAGGCUUACCUGGUUAAUAACCCGGGACUGAAGUAGGACGUUACUCGCAGAAUAAGCACCGGCUAACUCUGUGCCAGCAGCCGCGGUAAUACAGAGGGUGCAAGCGUUAAUCGGAUUUACUGGGCGUAAAGCGCGCGUAGGUGGCUAAUUAAGUCAAAUGUGAAAUCCCCGAGCUUAACUUGGGAAUUGCAUUCGAUACUGGUUAGCUAGAGUAUGGGAGAGGAUGGUAGAAUUCCAGGUGUAGCGGUGAAAUGCGUAGAGAUCUGGAGGAAUACCGAUGGCGAAGGCAGCCAUCUGGCCUAAUACUGACACUGAGGUGCGAAAGCAUGGGGAGCAAACAGGAUUAGAUACCCUGGUAGCUACGAGU